rnacentral:rRNA from 1 species
UACGUAGGGGGCUAGCGUUGUCCGGAAUUAUUGGGCGUAAAGAGCUCGUAGGCGGUGUGUCACGUCGUUCGUGAAAACCUGCAGCUUAACUGUGGGCGUGCGGUCGAUACGGGCAUCACUGGAGUUCGGCAGGGGAGACUGGAAUUCCUGGUGUAGCGGUGAAAUGCGCAGAUAUCAGGAGGAACACCGGUGGCGAAGGCGGGUUGCUGGGCUGACACUGAUGCGCGAAAGCGUGGGGAGCGAUCCGG